UCGAGCGGAUGAAGGGAGCUUGCUCCUGGAUUCAGCGGCGGACGGGUGAGUAAUGCCUAGGAAUCUGCCUGGUAGUGGGGGAUAACGUCCGGAAACGGGCGCUAAUACCGCAUACGUCCUGAGGGAGAAAGUGGGGGAUCUUCGGACCUCACGCUAUCAGAUGAGCCUAGGUCGGAUUAGCUAGUUGGUGGGGUAAAGGCCUACCAAGGCGACGAUCCGUAACUGGUCUGAGAGGAUGAUCAUUCACACUGGAACUGAGACACGGUCCAGACUCCUACGGGAGGCAGCAGUGGGGAAUAUUGGACAAUGGGCGAAAGCCUGAUCCAGCCAUGCCGCGUGUGUGAAGAAGGUCUUCGGAUUGUAAAGCACUUUAAGUUGGGAGGAAGGGCAGUAAGUUAAUACCUUGCUGUUUUGACGUUACCAACAGAAUAAGCACCGGCUAACUUCGUGCCAGCAGCCGCGGUAAUACGAAGGGUGCAAGCGUUAAUCGGAAUUACUGGGCGUAAAGCGCGCGUAGGUGGUUCAGCAAGUUGGAUGUGAAAUCCCCGGGCUCAACCUGGGAACUGCAUCCAAAACUACUGAGCUAGAGUACGGUAGAGGGUGGUGGAAUUUCCUGUGUAGCGGUGAAAUGCGUAGAUAUAGGAAGGAACACCAGUGGCGAAGGCGACCACCUGGACUGAUACUGACACUGACGUGCGAAAGCGUGGGGAGCAAACAGGAUUAGAUACCCUGGUAGUCCACGCCGUAAACGAUGUCGACUAGCCGUUGGGAUCCUUGAGAUCUUAGUGGCGCACCUAACGCGAUAAGUCGACCGCCUGGGGAGUACGGCCGCAAGGUUAAAAACUCAAAUGAAUUUGACGGG
rnacentral:rRNA from 1 species